rnacentral:lncRNA from 1 species
UCAUCCGAAUCGUGCUCAACUCAAAUAGUCCUGUGACUCCUCACAAGGACUACCCUAGCCAAGGUUUUGCUAAAUUGAAACACGACUGUACACAGCUCCUAAACUGGAGUGGUCAAUCCCAUCUUGACACACGCACCGACAAGUCAAGUACUUGACUACACCCAGCAACCUUCCAUCACUGAAUUAAAAAUUCAGGUAGUCUUGUGCCUAAGUGCAGUGAGU